CCUACGGGUGGCAGCAGUGGGGAAUAUUGCACAAUGGGGGAAACCCUGAUGCAGCCAUGCCGCGUGUGUGAUGAAGGCCUUCGGGUUGUAAAGCACUUUUGGCGGGGAUGCUGUACCCGCAGAAUAAGCUCCGGCUAACUUCGUGCCAGCAGCCGCGGUAAUACGAAGGGGGCGAGCGUUGCUCGGAAUUACUGGGCGUAAAGAGUAUGUAGGCGGUAUGUUAAGUUAGAUGUGAAAGCCUGGAGCUCAACUCCAGAACUGCAUUUAAUACUGGCAUGCUGGAAGUAUGGAGAGGUCGGCGGAAUUCCCAGUGUAGAGGUGAAAUUCGUAGAUAUUGGGAGGAACACCAAAGGCGUAGGCAGCCGACUGGCCAUCUUGACGCUGAGAUACGAAAGCGUGGGGAGCAAACAGGAUUAGAUACCCGAGUAGUC
rnacentral:rRNA from 1 species